GGUGUAAAUAUCACAUUAAUGUUGCUCCGUUAGGAGUGUAUAAAGCCAUUUCUUCCUAAUUGCUAUUUAUUAUUUUGAGUGAUCACUCUUUGUUUUUCGUUUUAUUUAUUUUCGUUUAUUAUGCAUGUUCGUGCUUUCUUUGAUUAGGAUAGGACCGACUCCAGUGUUGAAUUUGGGCUUUGCCUUUUCUUGUGGUAUGACCACUUUAACUUUUGAGCUUCGGCUUUUUACUUAAGAUAAAUAUUUGUUCCUAAUCUUUUGGGAAGGCUUAAUGUUUUCCUAAGCUCAACUUGCUAGUUAAUUAUUGGAGUCUGUCCUCCCUUUCUACUGUCAUAAUUUCCCUUUACAUGGCCUAUUUACAUGCCUCUUAAAGUUGCAGCUUAACCGCUUGGUGGCUAAAGAUUUUAAGAAUAACUGCGUAUCCGAUGGGGAACAACAUUCAUUCUAUUUUGGGUGACUUUCAGCGUCACUGUUUGCGAUAGAAAGAGCCUUUCGUACAUCACGUUAUGUUGGGCCGGGUUUAUUCGUCGGCACAACGGCGAUAAACUGUAUUGGAACCGCUGCCAAGCGUCACUUUUCGCGACUUGGUUCAAUUCUAGAUUUUUGUGAAUACGUCUGCUUUCUCAAGAUUUGGACCAGUCAUCUCCGGAAUAAAAGUUCCAUUUUGUUUACUGUUUUUUGUA
rnacentral:lncRNA from 1 species